rnacentral:rRNA from 1 species
UGGCCAGACUCCUACGGGAGGCAGCAGUGAGGAAUAUUGGUCAAUGGGCUAAGGCCUGAACCAGCCAAGUCGCGUGAGGGAAGACGGUCCUAUGGAUUGUAAACCUCUUUUGUCGGGGAGCAACGAGGCCACGUGUGGCCGAAGUGAGAGUACCCGAAGAAAAAGCAUCGGCUAACUCCGUGCCAGCAGCCGCGGUAAUACGGAGGAUGCGAGCGUUAUCCGGAUUUAUUGGGUUUAAAGGGUGCGUAGGCGGAACAUUAAGUCAGCGGUAAAAUCGAGGGGCUCAACCCCUUUAAGCCGUUGAAACUGGCAGUCUCGAGUUGGAGAGAAGUAUGCGGAAUGCGCGGUGUAGCGGUGAAAUGCAUAGAUAUCGCGCAGAACUCCGAUUGCGAAGGCAGCAUGCCGGCUCCACACUGACGCUGAGGCACGAAAGCGUGGGUAUCGAACAGGAUUAGAUACCCCGGUAC